CACUCUGCUAACUCGUAAGAGGAUGUAUAGGGUGUGACGCCUGCCCGGUGCUCGAAGGUUAAUUGAUGGGGUUAGCAUUAGCGAAGCUCUUGAUCGAAGCCCGAGUAAACGGCGGCCGUAACUAUAACGGUCCUAAGGUAGCGAAAUUCCUUGUCGGUUAAAUACCGACCUGCAUGAAUGGCGUAACGAGAUGGGAGCUGUCUCAAAGAGGGAUCCAGUGAAAUUGUAGUGGAGGUGAAAAUUCCUCCUACCCGCGGCAAGACGGAAAGACCCCGUGGACCUUUACUACAGCUUGACACUGCUACUUGGAUAAGAAUGUGCAGGAUAGGUGGGAGGCUUUGAGUAUAUGACGCCAGUUGUAUAUGAGCCAUUGUUGAGAUACCACUCUUUCUUAUUUGGGUAGCUAACCAGCUUGAGUUAUCCUCAAGUGGGACAAUGUCUGGUGGGUAGUUUGACUGGGGCGGUCGCCUCCCAAAUAAUAACGGAGGCUUACAAAGGUUGGCUCAGAACGGUUGGAAAUCGUUCGUAGAGUAUAAAGGUAUAAGCCAGCUUAACUGCAAGACAUACAAGUCAAGCAGAGACGAAAGUCGGUCUUAGUGAUCCGGUGGUUCUGUGUGGAAGGGCCAUCGCUCAAAGGAUAAAAGGUACCCCGGGGAUAACAGGCUGAUCUCCCCCAAGAGCUCACAUCGACGGGGAGGUUUGGCACCUCGAUGUCGGCUCAUCGCAUCCUGGGGCUGGAGCAGGUCCCAAGGGUAUGGCUGUUCGCCAUUUAAAGCGGUACGCGAGCUGGGUUCAGAACGUCGUGAGACAGUUCGGUCCCUAUCUGCCGUGGGCGUAAGAAGAUUGAAGAGAUUUGACCCUAGUACGAGAGGACCGGGUUGAACAAACCACUGGUGUAGCUGUUGUUCUGCCAAGAGCAUCGCAGCGUAGCUAAGUUUGGAAAGGAUAAACGCUGAAAGCAUCUAAGCGUGAAGCCAACUCUAAGAUGAAUCUUCUCUAAGCUCUCUAGAAGACUACUAGUUUGAUAGGCUGGGUGUGUAAUGGAUGAAAGUCCUUUAGCUGACCAGUACUAAUAGAGCGUUUGGCUUAUCUUUAAUAAAGCAU
rnacentral:rRNA from 1 species